rnacentral:rRNA from 1 species
UACGAAGGGGGCUAGCGUUGUUCGGAUUAACUGGGCGUAAAGCGCACGUAGGCGGCUUUUUAAGUCAGGGGUGAAAUCCCGGGGGCUCAACCCCCGGAACUGCCCUUGAAACUGGAGAGCUAGAAUCUUGGAGAGGCGAGUGGAAUUCCGAGUGUAGAGGUGAAAUUCGUAGAUAUUCGGAAGAACACCAGUGGCGAAGGCGACUCGCUGGACAAGUAUUGACGCUGAGGUGCGAAAGCGUGAGGAGCAAACAGG